UGUAAAAGUAGGUGCCUGCAUGGCAUUUGCUCAACUUCUACCUAAAGCAAAGAAAGUAAUUGUCCAACCACAGUUAUUCGGUUUAUUUUCAUCCCUCACGGAUCUUCUUAAUCAUGCAUCAUAUGGUUUCCUUGCAUACGGUACUUGAAACGUUGCAAGAAGCCGUAAAUGCAGGUUAGGAAUAUCUUUCUCUGGUGAGAUGACACAUGCGAGUCUUCAACUGAAUCCUGAAAGAUAUACUGGUUACACCACUCCAUCUGCAAGAAGGAUAUGGGAUGUUGUCUACUCUGAGAACUGCCCCAAAUAUCUUUCGCAAGAAUCGUGUCAGGAGGAAAAGAUUUUGUAUAAAUUGAUAUCAGGUCUCCACUCCUCCAUAUCAGUACAUAUAGCUGCGAUUACCUAGUUGAAGAAGCUACAAAUAUGCGAGCAGUAACCAAAGCUGUAGAUUAUCUCGAGCAGGCUGAGUACACAUUUUUAGGAGUGAAAGAGAAGCAUAAUAAAGCUGCACCAGGUCGCUCAUAUGAUUCUCAUAUUAUUCAAGCAGAGUCUGAUGCACAAAAGAGGGAUGAAUAUAUUUAGCGUUUGAUGCAGCUCCCAAAUCAGAAAUGGAUGGAAAUUAUAGGUCAGGCACAU